CCGCGCAGGGUCAACCUGGACAGAGCUUUCUCCGUUUCUAUCUGCCCUAUGUGUCAGCCUGGGAAUUCUCACAGGAAGUGACAUCGCAGCUUAGGGAUUCUCACAGGAAGUGACAUCACAGCUGUGCUAAUGGAGGCCGGACGUCGGGUGGAGGAGUGCGAUGUCUGCUGCGCUCUCCGGCGGGAAGCGUGAUCAGAGGGCGUGAUGCGCCACCGCGCCAUUCCCGGGAAUAACGCACCGGCGUUCCCGCUCUGCCGUUCCUGCAGUACCAGAGUCCUGCAUGGACACACCGUAUGUUCUUCACGGUCUCACAGGAAGACGUCCUGAACUCACAGACCUCCCUCCCUUAGGUCUCACAGGAAGACGGCCUGAACUCACAGACCUCCCUCCCUCAGGUCUCACAGGAAGACGGCCUGAGCCUCACAGACCUCCCUCCCUCAGGUCU